AUCGGGUCGCCGCUCUAUCGCUGGCCAUCAACCCUUCGGGGUCGAGGCGAGAGGAAAGUCCGGGCAACACAGAGUCCCAUACUUCCUAACGGGAAGGGGCAUAAUUCCGUAAGGGUUAUGUCACAGCAAAGUGCCACAGAAACAAUACCGCCAACGUUGGCUUCGUGCCAGCAGGGUAAGGGUGCAAACGCGAGGUAAGAGCUCACGACGACCUUCAGCAAUGAGGUCGAUGGUAAACCUUAUGGGUUGAAAGACCAAAUAUACCGGCAGUGAAAGGUUGACUCGCCUGUGUCGGGGGGGUAGGUUGAUUGAGGCAGUUGGUGACAGCUGUCCUAGAUUAAUGAUAGAGGCCCCUUUCAAGGGGUACAGAACCCGGCUUACAAGCGCCCGAUUUUU
rnacentral:RNase_P_RNA from 1 species